AUUGAACGCUGGCGGCAGGCCUAACACAUGCAAGUCGAGCGAGCGGCGGACGGGUGAGUAAUGUAUGGGGACUGCCCGAUAGGGGGGGAUAACUACUUGAAACCGUGGCUAAUAACGGCUACUCUCGGAUAACCCAUCUGGGAAUAGGUAGUAGGUGGGGUAAAGGCUCGCAAAGGCGACGAUCUCUAGCUGGUCUGAGAGGAUGAUCAGCCAAACGGGGACUGAGACACGGCCCAGACUCCAACGGAGGAAGCAGUGGGGAAUAUUGCACAAUGGGCGCAAGCCUGAUGCAGCCAUGCGGCGUGUAUGAAGAAGGCCUUAGGGUUGUAAAGUACGUUCAGCGGGGAGGCGUUACCCGAAGAAGAAGCACCGGCUAACUCCGUGCCAGCAGCCGCGGUAAUUC
rnacentral:rRNA from 1 species